CUACUGAUUUUACCUUCAGUACCUUUUAUGGAGCUUGAUCAAACUUCAUCAAAAGCUGCCCUUUUUCCUCUCUAUGUGUUGCCCAUGAUGUGUAGAACAAUUUUAAUAAAGAAACUUAUAAGAAAAAAUGGCUUGAUCAUGGGUUGAUGAAGCUUGCUUCAUGGACAUCCAUGGAUGAGCUUGGGAGAGAAAAUCAAAUUCGGCAAUGGUGAUGAAGGAGUGAAGAAGAUGAAAUGGUUUAGUGGAAAAUGUUGUCCACUUAUGGUUUUAUACCCCACUAAACAUUUAAAUAAUAGUUAAAAUAAUUAAACUUUCAUAAUUCUA
rnacentral:misc_RNA from 1 species